rnacentral:rRNA from 1 species
UUAAGCGACCAAGCGUACACGGUGGAUGCCCUGGCAGUCAGAGGCGAUGAAGGACGUGCUAAUCUGCGAAAAGCGCCGGUAAGGUGAUAUGAACCGCUACAGCCGGCGAUGUCCGAAUGGGGAAACCCAGUGUGACUCGUCACACUAUCAUUGCGUGAAUACAUAGCGUAAUGAAGCGAACCGGGGGAACUGAAACAUCUAAGUACCCCGAGGAAAAGAAAUCAACCGAGAUUCCCCCAGUAGCGGCGAGCGAACGGGGAGCAGCCCAGAGCCUGCAUCAGCUUGUGUGUUAGUGGAAGCGUCUGGAAAGGCGCACGGUACAGGGUGACAGUCCCGUACACAAAAGCACACAGGCUGUGAGCUCGAUGAGUAGGGCGGGACACGUGGUAUCCUGUCUGAAUAUGGGGGGACCAUCCUCCAAGGCUAAAUACUCCUGACUGACCGAUAGUGAACCAGUACCGUGAGGGAAAGGCGAAAAGAACCCCGGCGAGGGGAGUGAAACAGAACCUGAAACCGUGUACGUACAAGCAGUGGGAGCACCUUCGUGGUGUGACUGCGUACCUUUUGUAUAAUGGGUCAGCGACUUAUAUUCUGUAGCAAGGUUAACCGCAUAGGGGAGCCGAAGGGAAACCGAGUCUUAACCGGGCGCUAAGUUGCAGGGUAUAGACCCGAAACCCGGUGAUCUAGCCAUGGGCAGGUUGAAGGUUGGGUAACACUAACUGGAGGACCGAACCGACUAAUGUUGAAAAAUUAGCGGAUGACCUGUGGCUGGGGGUGAAAGGCCAAUCAAACCGGGAGAUAGCUGGUUCUCCCCGAAAGCUAUUUAGGUAGCGCCUCGUGAAUUCAUCUCCGGGGGUAGAGCACUGUUUCGGCUAGGGGGCCAUCCCGGCUUACCAACCCGAUGCAAACUGCGAAUACCGGAGAAUGUUAUCACGGGAGACACACGGCGGGUGCUAACGUCCGUCGUGAAGAGGGAAACAACCCAGACCGCCAGCUAAGGUCCCAAAGUCAUGGUUAAGUGGGAAACGAUGUGGGAAGGCCCAGACAGCCAGGAUGUUGGCUUAGAAGCAGCCAUCAUUUAAAGAAAGCGUAAUAGCUCACUGGUCGAGUCGGCCUGCGCGGAAGAUGUAACGGGGCUAAACCAUGCACCGAAGCUGCGGCAGCGACACGUAAGUGUUGUUGGGUAGGGGAGCGUUCUGUAAGCCGUUGAAGGUGUGCUGUGAGGCAUGCUGGAGGUAUCAGAAGUGCGAAUGCUGACAUAAGUAACGAUAAAGCGGGUGAAAAGCCCGCUCGCCGGAAGACCAAGGGUUCCUGUCCAACGUUAAUCGGGGCAGGGUGAGUCGACCCCUAAGGCGAGGCCGAAAGGCGUAGUCGAUGGGAAACGGGUUAAUAUUCCCGUACUCGGCGUUACUGCGAAGGGGGGACGGAGAAGGCUAUGUUGGCCGGGCGACGGUUGUCCCGGUUUAAGCGUGUAGGCUGAGCAUCCAGGCAAAUCCGGAUGCUUAAGGCUGAGGCGUGACGACGAGGCGCUACGGCGCUGAAGCAACAAAUGCCCUGCUUCCAGGAAAAGCCUCUAAGCAUCAGGUAACGUCGAAUCGUACCCCAAACCGACACAGGUGGUCAGGUAGAGAAUACCAAGGCGCUUGAGAGAACUCGGGUGAAGGAACUAGGCAAAAUGGUGCCGUAACUUCGGGAGAAGGCACGCUGGCGCGUAGGUGAAGGGACUUGCUCCCGGAGCCGAAGCCAGUCGAAGAUACCAGCUGGCUGCAACUGUUUAUUAAAAACACAGCACUGUGCAAACACGAAAGUGGACGUAUACGGUGUGACGCCUGCCCGGUGCCGGAAGGUUAAUUGAUGGGGUCAGCCGCAAGGCGAAGCUCCUGAUCGAAGCCCCGGUAAACGGCGGCCGUAACUAUAACGGUCCUAAGGUAGCGAAAUUCCUUGUCGGGUAAGUUCCGACCUGCACGAAUGGCGUAAUGAUGGCCAGGCUGUCUCCACCCGAGACUCAGUGAAAUUGAACUCGCUGUGAAGAUGCAGUGUACCCGCGGCAAGACGGAAAGACCCCGUGAACCUUUACUACAGCUUGACACUGAACACCGGUCCUUGAUGUGCAGGAUAGGUGGGAGGCUUUGAAGCGUGGACGCCAGUCCGCGUGGAGCCGCCCUUGAAAUACCACCCUUUAAUGGCUGGUGUUCUAACGUUGGCCCGUAAUCCGGGCUGCGGACAGUGUCUGGUGGGUAGUUUGACUGGGGCGGUCUCCUCCCAAAGCGUAACGGAGGAGUACGAAGGUCAGCUAAUCACGGUCGGACAUCGUGAGGUUAGUGCAAUGGCAUAAGCUGGCUUGACUGCGAGCGUGACGGCGCGAGCAGGUGCGAAAGCAGGUCAUAGUGAUCCGGUGGUUCUGAAUGGAAGGGCCAUCGCUCAACGGAUAAAAGGUACUCCGGGGAUAACAGGCUGAUACCGCCCAAGAGUUCAUAUCGACGGCGGUGUUUGGCACCUCGAUGUCGGCUCAUCACAUCCUGGGGCUGAAGUAGGUCCCAAGGGUAUGGCUGUUCGCCAUUUAAAGUGGUACGCGAGCUGGGUUUAGAACGUCGUGAGACAGUUCGGUCCCUAUCUGCCGUGGGCGCUGGAAGACUGAGAGGGGUUGCUCCUAGUACGAGAGGACCGGAGUGAACGCACCGCUGGUGUUCGGGUUGUCAUGCCAAUGGCACUGCCCGGUAGCUACGUGCGGAAGAGAUAAGUGCUGAAAGCAUCUAAGCACGAAACUUGCCUCGAGAUGAGUCUUCCCUGAGGCCUUUGAGCCUCCUGAAGGGACGUUGAAGACGACGACGUUGAUAGGCCGGGUGUGUAAGCGCAGCGAUGCGUUGAGCUGACCGGUACUAAUGACCCGUGAGGCUUAACCUU